rnacentral:lncRNA from 1 species
CACUAUGAAAGGAAUAUUAGCAUUAAUGCAACUUCACCACUGUUUGCAACAUAGUCAUGACCAACCCUUACAUACAUCCGAAUAUUGCUAUGCAAGCCUCUAAGAGUGCUAAACAUAGUACCUGACAUGGUCGGGACAGGGCCCCACCGUACCCAAAAUUAACUGGAACAUACACAUCGGUACCUAUUGACUUUUGAACAGCUACUCCGGAGAAGUGAAGUGCAACAACCAAAAGCUGGAGCAAACACCCUAUUGGGGAAGGACGUCACCGGAUCUAUCUGUACCUGUGGGCAUGAACACAGUGCCCAAAGAAAAUAGACGUCGGUACGAAAGAUGUACUGAGUAUGUAAAACAUAUAACGUAUGUAAACCAAAGGGAUAUCAUAGGAGAUAGAAAUGCACAAAUCUUAACCUGAAUACCGUAGAUAAGCCACCGGGGGCAUACACUGCUAUAAUCAUGAAUGUAUGCAAGCUUUUCUAAAAUCAAGACACUCAUUGGGGCUAGGCAUUAAUUAUAAUAUAUACAUAUAUGUACAUUCAGCCACUCUUUGGGGCACUUCACAUCGCUCCGUACUCGGCCUCAUAUAGGACUCAGUCGUACCCGACCGUACCCGGUCUCAGCAGAAUUCGGCGUAACCGGCCUCGAGAGGACUCGGUAAAGUAUCACAUUAUACAUUACUCCAUACCUGACCUCAUAGAGGACUCGGUCGUACCCGACCUUAGGAGGACUCCACUGAACCCGACCUCAACAUGUCUCGGUGUAGUCGGCCUCAAAAGGACUCGGUAGCCUUACAUCACACAUCAUCAUAUCCGGCCACAUAAGGGCUCGGUAAUANNNNNNNNNNNNNNNNNNNNNNNNNUGCCAUCGGUAAGAAUAAUAUACAAGAAUAGAAACAACAUUAUUGAGAAGAUUUUAGAACAACCCAAUCUCACAACACAGAAAUCCUUGAAGAGGAAAGAGAGAGAGAGGGACACUCAUAUCAAGAAAGAAAGUUGUCCUACAUACCUUCUUGAAAAACUAGCUAUGUUUUCCUGAAUUCUUACGACUUCGUGGUGAUUAACUCUACCUUCAGUAGGUCUCCAAAAAUCGAGAUAACAUGUAUUAUAGUGAUAAUCCAAAGCUUAUUCACACUAAUUCUUACUAGAAUCGCUUCUAAUUCAGUUUAGUCUACUUAGAAACUCUCAAGGGAGGUUUGAGAGCGUUUUGGGUGGUUUAAAGUGGUGACACUCUCUAGAAUGAAAGAGAAGGAGCUACAUUCACCUUUUAUACUUAUACCAAGUCUAGGAAAUUCCGCCACUCCACAUGCACAAUGGGUCGCCCUGCCCAGGUUGCAGCACCGAGGGAUAUCUGGCUUUAGCCUAAUAAAUCGUGUAAUCCUCUUCUAUCCUCAUAUGUGUCGCUGGCCGAUUGUCCUUGCUAGAAGCUAAACUUUCCAAUCUUUAACUCUAUGCGUGGGGAAAAGUGUGGGGUGUAACAUCAUCCCCUUUGGAACAUUCGUCCUCAAAUGUUGAAUCGUAGUCACUCCUAACAAACUUCUUUAGUCAUGUUGGGUUGUGCCUGCCAUAUUAGUCUCAUUGUUGUCUCCUGUAGCGAGGAAUAAAUGGGGUGUAUGAGCUGUGAGUAAGGUGUGCAUAUGCCUCUGUAUUCAGACGGGAGUGAGGUGAGAAUGAGCUUGUGUGAUAGAGAGAAAAGAAAAGAGAGGGGCAGUGACUAGGGUUGAUUCUAAUGGGGGAUCCGUCUCUACUCCU